rfam:Gymnopus luxurians FD-317 M1 unplaced genomic scaffold GYMLTscaffold_60, whole genome shotgun sequence.
CCGACCAUAGCUCAGUUGGAAGAGCACAAGACUGUAAUGGUUGCUGUUUCGAGCUGUAUCUUGGGGUCGCCUGUUCGAACCAGGCUGGUCGGA